rnacentral:rRNA from 1 species
AGAAUCAACGCUGGCGGCGUGCCUAACACAUGCAAGUCGCACGAGAAAGGGACUUCGGUCCUGAGUAAAGUGGCGCACGGGUGAGUAACACGUGACUAAUCUACCCUCGAGUGGGGAAUAACCUAGGGAAACCUGGGCUAAUACCGCAUAACACUUACGAGUCAAAGCAGCAAUGCGCUUGGGGAGGAGGUCGCGGCAGAUUAGCUAGUUGGCGGGGUAAUGGCCCACCAAGGCGAUGAUCGGUA